CAGCCGCCGCGGGAAUACGGAGGGGGCUAGCGUUGUUCGGAAUUACUGGGCGUAAAGCGCACGUAGGCGGCUUGGUAAGUUAGAGGUGAAAGCCCGGAGCUCAACUCCGGAAUUGCCUUUAAGACUGCCGAGCUAGUAGGUGAGAGAGGUAAGUGGAAUUCCGAGUGUAGAGGUGAAAUUCGCAGAUAUUCGGAAGAACACCAGUGGCGAAGGCGGCUUACUGGCUCAUUCUAGACGCUGAGGUGCGAAAGCGUGGGGAGCAAACAGGAUUAGAUACCCCGGUAGUCCCUGUCUCUUAUAC
rnacentral:rRNA from 1 species